UGUUACACCCCCUCCUUUGGUCCUCUGGAGACCCUUCUGGACUGGGGACUGGAGGGAGUAAAACCAACAUAGUUGAAGAAUAGAGGAGAUGGGAACAUCUUUCUGUGCCCCUCUGAAGGCUCAUUCCAUCAUCUUCCAGCAUUCAGUGGCUGAAAAAGUGAGGACAAUCCGCAAAUACAGGAGCCGAGCCCUUUGCCUGGACAUGGAGGCUUCACCCCAUCACCUGCAGACCAAGGCCUAUGUGCGCCAGUUCCAGGUCAUAGACAACCAGAACCUCCUCUUUGAGCUCUCCUACAAGCUGGAGGCUAACAGUCAGUGAGAACAGAAUUCUGGUUGGCCCCCCACGAGGGUCCUUGGGCACCUGACACUCAAGCACUUUGCACUAUGUCCUAAUCCAUCUCUGACACCUUUCCCCCUGGAGCAACUUCUCUCCCCACCAAAAAGAGUUGGAUGGACUUACCCCCAGACUCACAAGCCUGUUCAUCCUGCUGAAGUCCUCUCUCCCCGCUCCUUCAAGCCCAAACCACACGCAGCUGAUUCCUGCCCUUGCAGGGAAGUGGGGGAGAGAGUUCCUUCCUCUGUCUCCUCUGGUCAAGGUCUAUUCUGGAGAUAGAAUUUCUAGUCUCUUCUUCUCAAGCAGGAAGGAAAGCUGCCCACCAUCCUGAGCAGAGCACCAUCCAGAGCUGAAUUGUAAAAGGGAUUGGCAGCCUUCCUUUCUGCCCCUGUCCAGCUUCUCUGUGGUCAGGGCUAGGACCCCUAGAAUAUUAUAUUGUUUCAUAAUAGAAUAUUAUGUGUGUGUGUGUCCCCUUUAAAGGAGCAGGAGUGCAUCUAGCAAUUGAGGGAAGUUGUUGUAUGUGUGUUGUGGGGGGGUCCUUCUGUUUGGUGCUACCCUUGUCUGCUCUGCCCCUGGGAUGAUGCAGGGCGCUUGCCCCACCGGCGUGCUCCCUGCUCUGCUCCUCCUGCUGCCCUGCAUGCCCCAAACUGCUCUCAAGGGCAAGGAGUGGCAGCAGGUGGGAGAGGUUGUCCAUCAGCCCUGUGUGGGCCCCACUCAGGCCUCUGGUAGGUCCCUGGUGGGCCCUGCUGAGAGGGUAAAAGAUGCUCAGGGAAACACAGGCCUAAGCUGCCCACAGGAUCCUCCCUCUGCAUUGCAGUCAUUGGGGGUGUGGCAGUAUCAGGAGUUAGGGGUGCCUGCUGCCCACACUCCUGAUUUUAGCGUGUCCCACUGCUAAGAAGGGAGUUAUCACCCCCCUUCUGGCAUGCCUAUGGGACACCAACAAUGUGUUCUCUUUCUCCCUGUCUUGACACCCCCUGGGGUGGGGUGGACUCCUACCUGGACAGGCAGCCCCCAGAUGAGGGGGGUAGGAGUGGCAGAGACUGUGAAGGCAGAACCGGACCCUGGCGAUGCUUUUCUGACCUCUCUGUCUCCCCUCGCUCUCCCACCCUCCGGGGAUGAGGGCCCAGGGCUCCUGGCAGCUACUGGGCUAGGGUUUCUGACACAGCCUCGCCCUCCUCUCUGGCACCACCUCCUUCCCUUCUGAAGGGGCAGCAGCAGCUGCUACUCCUGCUCUGAGGGUGUACAUAGUUUUUACCAAAAGCUCUGGAAUUGUAAAUUUAUUUUUUAAAACUCAAAGAGGAAGAGACUUGUAUCAUAUGUAAACAUUGUAUCAUAGGUUAUGUUGUAUAGUCCCUUUUAUACAGUGGCCUGUCUUGUUCCUGCUGCAAUGAUUGUCUCUGGACUCCCCACCCCUACCCCACAUCCACAGGCGCCCUGUGCUGCCCAUGCAUCCCUUACAGACAGUGACCAUGGCCUCUGCUCCCUCCCCUCCCUGCAACUGCUGAUGUGCCCAUCCCUCCGCAGUCACCCUUCCUCCUGAUCCUGCUCAGCAGCCUUCCCACUCCAGCUCCUGCAGCCACCUCAGACAUUGGGACCCCCUGGUCCUGUCUUGACUGCUGGCUGCCCCUAGCCUUGACAUCUGCCCUGGGUUGCCUCCCGGACUCCACCUGUUCCCCACAGCUUUAACAGAGUGAACUGUGUAUACUGUACAGGCUCAGCUGUCUUUGCAGAAACCGCUGGGUGGAGAAAAAGCCGAUAAAAUCUAUGAAUCAA